UUUGUUCGAUUAAUUUGUUUUUUGCAUUGUUUGUUUUUUGUUUGUUAUUUUUAACAUCCUUAACUUUGUUUAUUAUAUGUUAAUUUGAUAGACAAAACUACAAUAUAAAAGUUGUGUUUUUUUGUAAUUUGAUUUUAUUAUAUUGUUGGAUUAUAAGAAAUUCGUAUGUUGGAGAGUAACUGUGCAGGAGUGCAAUUUUGUUUUUGAAAGUUUAACGCAAAGCUUGUAAUUAAGCAGAAAUCUAGACAAAUUUUUUUUUUAUCGCCAAAUAAAGAUUUUUACAAAAAAAAAUUGUUUUGUGCUGAAGUUACAAUUGUUAUCAAUGAAAUAAAAUCAAUAUAAUGGACAAGAUCACACAAGCGUUGUUGCAGACUAAAGCAUCUAACCUUAAAAACGAUAUGACAAAGAAUGUCGCCUCGUUUUGGUCUGAAGAUGACGAUAAGGCUAAUGAAAUUAAACGGCAGAAAUAUUUAAAGGAAAUAGAGCAGCGUCAAGAUAACGAAAAACUUGAACGCGAAGAGCGCGCCCGAAUACGAAACUCCGAACGAGAAAAGUUUCGUUCGACUCUUCGCGAAAAAUACGAUUUGAAGGGUAGUACAGUAUCAAACAACUCAAAAGGUCCCUGCCAGCCCAGCAGCACAACUAUACCUAAAUUAAACGAAAAUGUUGACGAAAAUGAUAAAUCCAAAGAAUGCCUAAUUCAAUAGCGGCUGCUCUUUACUAAAAGUAUUACGCCAGUACACUCAAAAUCGCAGUUUCAGAUUCACUAAACAAUUUUUUAGAUAAAAAAUUUUAAAUAUGUUUUAUAAA